GGAGGGUGCGAGCGUUAAUCGGAAUGACUGGGCGUAAAGGGCAUGUAGGCGGAUGAUUAAGUUAGGUGUGAAAGCCUCGGGCUCAACCUGAGAAUAGCAUUUAAAACUGGUGAUCUGGAGUACUGUAGAGGGAGGUAGAAUUCCACGUGUAGCGGUGAAAUGCGUAGAGAUGUGGAGGAAUACCGGUGGCGAAGGCGGCCUUCUGGACAGAUACUGACGCUGAGAUGCGAAAGCGUGGGGAGCAAACAGGAUUAGAUACCCUGGUAGUCCACGCUGUAAACGAUGUCGAUUUGGAGUUUGUUGCCUAGAGUGAUGGGCUCCGAAGCUAGCGCGAUAAAUCGACCGCCUGGGGAGUACGGCCGCAAGGUUA
rnacentral:rRNA from 1 species